rnacentral:lncRNA from 1 species
CCCGGAUUGCUCUCCCACGAACGCCCCGACCCAGCCGUGGCGAAGGAGGAGCAGACGAAAAAAUUUCUCUCCUUUCCGCCGGAACACCAACUUCCGACAUGGUCCAGCAAGAAGUGACCGUGACCAGCACAACCCUGGCCGUGACCCUAGGAGUGACGUUGACCUUAGGGUUCAUCUGCGGAUACCAGUUCAAGGCGUGGAGGAUCGAGUGGCUAAAGAGAAGGAGAGAGAGACUGCAGAGGAAGAUCCAGCAGACGCAGGCGGAGAUCGAGAUGCUGCAGAAGGGGCACUAGGGUUCCCUCCUAACACUCUACUGCCGUCCGUCUUGUACAUAACUUUAUUAAUAUUGUCUCGGUAAUUAAUUGACUUUAAUUAGUACACCAAAAUCAAUCAAUAAUACCACAUUUCUAAUCUAACUCAGGGCUUUCUUGAAGAGUGCUUUCUAAGUGGUAGUAUAUACAAUUAGGACUUGGGAGUAUAUUUUUAAAUAUUGCACAAAAGAAAAAGACAUGAGCUUUUGGAAUCAGUGCCAAGUGGGUUUGCUGUCAAACUACUCGUCAGGUUGUGUUCAAGAUGAAGUUAGCUGGAGCUUUCGCCUUCAAACUCCUUGACUAUUAGGUGACAUCAGAGAUAAUCCGGACAACAAGGUUCUGGCCAUAAAGAAUCAUUGAUUAAUUAACAGAUGGUGCUAGUGUGAUGUCUUAUAAAGGGAUUCAGUCCAACGGAUAUAUAUGUAAUUGAAUUUUGAAGCUUUUUAUAGUAUUUUGUAAAUCUUUGUGUAUGAUGAUUCUAUAUGAUUAAAGUAUGUAGAUUCCAA